UACGUAGGUGGCAAGCGUUAUCCGGAUUUACUGGGUGUAAAGGGCGUGUAGGCGGUUUUGCAAGUCAGAUGUGAAAUCUCCGGGCUUAACCCGGAAACUGCAUCUGAAACUGCAGAACUUGAGUACUGGAGAGGAUAGUGGAAUUCCUAGUGUAGCGGUAAAAUGCGUAGAUAUUAGGAGGAACACCAGUGGCGAAGGCGACUAUCUGGACAGUAACUGACGCUGAGGCGCGAAAGCGUGGGGAGCAAACAGGAUUAGAUACCCCGGUAGUCCCU
rnacentral:rRNA from 1 species